UACGUAGGGGGCUAGCGUUGUCCGGAAUCAUUGGGCGUAAAGAGCGUGUAGGCGGCCCGGUAAGUCCGCUGUGAAAGUCGGGGGCUCAACCCUCGAAUGCCGGUGGAUACUGUCGGGCUAGAGUGCGGAAGAGGCGAGUGGAAUUCCUGGUGUAGCGGUGGAAUGCGCAGAUAUCAGGAAGAACACCCGUGGCGAAGGCGGCUCUCUGGGACGGUACUGACGCUGAGACGCGAAAGCGUGGGGAGCAAACAGG
rnacentral:rRNA from 1 species